AAACAAAGCAAAGAAGGACCUCUACCCCAUUCAGUGCCCAACUUGGAUAAUGAUCAAUUAAUGGAGCAGCUAUUCAAGAUGUGCAAGCAGGAGAUCAGUGACUGGCUGCAAGGAGGUGAUAUAACAUAUUAAAAUGCAGGAUGAAAACCUGGAGAGGGCGCAGAAUGAUGCAAUACAAGAAAAUGUUUUGAGAACUGGAGAAAAAUGAAAAAGUCCAACCUAAGAAGUUUAUUUAAAAAAGCUGAAAGGUAGAGAGCUGAGGGUGAAGUGGAAAAGGACAUUCUAUGGGAUUUGAAGAUCUGUGGAAUCUCAGAGCCAGUAAAAUUGUCACUACCUCCAAACAACUUCUAAUAAUAUCUACUGAGUGUUCUGAUAAAUCCUGUCCAAACUUAAACACAUUGCUCAAGUACUGGCAUCCUUAUUCCAAGCGACUUGGAGUUCUGCGUCCUUAUGCUGCUACAAGUUAGAUUACUGUCAAUUGAUUUAAAAAAAGGAAUAAACUAAUAAACAUUAGU